CAGUAGCCGCGGGAAUACGUAGGUGGCAAGCGUUGUCCGGAUUUAUUGGGCGUAAAGCGAGCGCAGGCGGUCAAUUAAGUCUGAUGUGAAAGCCCCCGGCUCAACCGGGGAGGGUCAUUGGAAACUGGUUGACUUGAGUGCAGAAGAGGAGAGUGGAAUUCCAUGUGUAGCGGUGAAAUGCGUAGAUAUAUGGAGGAACACCAGUGGCGAAGGCGACUCUCUGGUCUGUAACUGACGCUGAGGCUCGAAAGCGUGGGUAGCAAACAGGAUUAGAUACCCCAGUAGUCCCUGUCUCUUAUAC
rnacentral:rRNA from 1 species